GAUGAACGCUGGCGGCGUGCCUAAUACAUGCAAGUCGAGCGAACAGACGAGGAGUUGUCUCCUCUGACGUUAUCGGCGGAGGGGUGAUGAACACGUGGAUAACCUACCUAUCAGACUGGGAUAAUUUCGGGAAACCGUAUCUAAUACCGGAUAAUAUAUUGAACCGCAUGGUUCAAUAGUGAAAUUCGGUUUUGCUGUCGCUUAUAGAUGAAUCCGCGCCGCAUCAGCUAGUUGGUAAGGUGACGGCUUACCAAGGCAACGAUGCGUAGACGACCUCAGAGGGUGAUCGCACACCCUGGAACUGAGACACGGUCCAGACUCCUACGGGAGGCAGCAGUCGGGAAUCUUCCGCAAUGGGCGAGAGCUUGACGGAGCAACGCCGCGUGAGUCCUGAAGGUCUUCGGCUCGUAGAGCUCUGUUAUUAGGAGAGAACAAAUGUGUAAGUAACUGUGCACGUAUUGACGGUACCUGGACAGAAAGCCCCGGCUAACUACGUG
rnacentral:rRNA from 1 species